rnacentral:lncRNA from 1 species
UGAAUAGAAAACAUUUCAAAGAAUUGAUUCCAACCGCCAUUUUUGGCAAACUAAAUUGUAUUGCUAUCAUAUCCUUUUUCUGUUUUCUUAUCUAGUCAUUGUUGCUCUGUUCGUGGGAGAGAGAGAUAAAUUUUGCAUAGAAGGUGAAGAGCUUAACGUCUUUGCUUGGCAAAACGACUAAGAACUGAGAAAUGAGAUGGGAAAAACGAACCAACGACCGACUCCAACAGUCCAAGAGAAAGAGGACACUGAUUUUUCUUCGGUAUUUAUGUUUCCAUUUUUAAACGCCUUUGCUGUUAUUCUAUUUCGAAGACAUUUUCCAAUAAAAGAUUUGUUUUAAGGAAUAUUUUAUUUCUUAUUUUAAUAAUAAGCUUCAAUAAUCAUUCUUGUUUUAUGAAUGAUUUUUCAUUAACAAUUUUUUCAUAAAAACAAUUAUGUAAUAAUAACAUUAUACAUUUUCCUAAAAUUCAAUAACAACUCUUAAAAUUUUGAUGUUUUAUGUAUAAAAUAUUUGAUUUAACUUAUAGUUAAUAUAAUUAUUGAAAUAAUAAUUUUUAUAUUUUUCAACUAUCCAAGAAAUAUUUUUUUUGAUUCAUUGAGAUAUCCAAUAGCCUAAAAUAAAUAUUAAAUCAAUUUAAUUUUAUCAAUUAAAUUAUUUAAAAAAUAACUUUACAAUUUUAUGAGUUAAAGUAUUUAAUGAAUUGAUAACAAUUAAAAUAAUACUUCUUGUAAAAUUCAAGACCGCUAAUUUUUUAAAUUGAUAAAUAUAUAAUUAACAGUUGCUAAAACAACUAAUUGUAAAGAUUUUAAAUUGAUAAAUAUAUAAUUAACAGUUGCUAAAACAACUAAUUGUAAAGAGUAUAUUUUUUCUAUACUGCUGCGGCCAGCUAAUACUGCCGAACAAAUUCUACAUGUGUUUCUAUAAGAUUAGGACUUAACCCAGAUAAGUUGGCUCAAUUAAAACCAGCCCCACCAGGCUGUUGAACAGAAACAAGUGAAAUGCUUUCCUCCAUAAAUUCGUUGAACAGAUACAAUUAACUAUGUCGGGAACAAGUAACAGAAUGGAAAAUGUGAAUGUAAGGGGAAAAAGAAAAUGCAAGUCCGGAACAUUAUUUUGCUAAUAAAUAAAUCAACUAUAAUUUUCAUCAAUAUAAUUAUAAUUAAAAUUAUCAGCAGGAUCCUAAUUGUCAAUAUUAUCAGUAUCACAUUGACCCUUACAACCAAAUUCUAACAGACUAAAGCAAAUAUAAACAUGGCUCCAGUUAACUACCUCCUAGAUUAGUAUUAUACAUUACUAAAUUUUAUCGUUGAUUGGGGAAAGAAUAAACAAAAAGGUAUAGAAUAAUAUUUAAUGGUCUAGCACUCGAGUAACGAAUUUGAUUCAAUUAAGCAAUGCAUCAAACAUUUUGAGUGCAAAAUAUCAUAUAAUAUAAUCAGAUGAAAAUUCAAAGCAAAUGAAAAAUACCAGAUCAAGAAACAGAGAGAGAAAAUAUACCCAUCUUCGCUGAGGACACCAUGAGGAAAAUUAGGGAGAGGAGACGCUAAACUGAAGUUAUAGAGCUUGUUCCCGUCAACAAAACUGAGGUCACACACCGCAGUGACCGAGUUUAGAGAACCAACCAGAUGUAGAAUCGCUAUAGCUGUGAAUAGAAAACAUUUCAAAGAAUUGAUUCCAACCGCCAUUUUUGGCAAACUAAAUUGUAUUGCUAUCAUAUCCUUUUUCUGUUUUCUUAUCUAGUCAUUGUUGCUCUGUUCGUGGGAGAGAGAGAUAAAUUUUGCAUAGAAGGUGAAGAGCUUAACGUCUUUGCUUGGCAAAACGACUAAGAACUGAGAAAUGAGAUGGGAAAAACGAACCAACGACCGACUCCAACAGUCCAAGAGAAAGAGGACACUGAUUUUUCUUCGGUAUUUAUGUUUCCAUUUUUAAACGCCUUUGCUGUUAUUCUAUUUCG